rnacentral:rRNA from 1 species
UUCGCCCUUAGAGUUUGAUCCUGGCUCAGGACGAACGCUGGCGGCGUGCUUAACACAUGCAAGUCGAACGGAGUUAUUUGGAAAGCUUGCUUUUUGAAUAACUUAGUGGCGGACGGGUGAGUAACGCGUGAGUAAUCUGUCUCACACAGGGGAAUAACGCACCGAAAGGUGUGCUAAUACCGCAUGAGACCACAGAGGGGCAUCCCUUAGGGGUCAAAGAUUUAUCGGUGUGAGGUGAGCUCGCGUCCCAUUAGAUAGUUGGUGAGGUAACGGCCCACCAAGUCGACGAUGGGUAGCCGACCUGAGAGGGUGAUCGGCCACAUUGGAACUGAGAUACGGUCCAAACUCCUACGGGAGGCAGCAGUGGGGAAUAUUGGGCAAUGGGCGGAAGCCUGACCCAGCAACGCCGCGUGAGGGAAGAAGGUUUUCGGAUUGUAAACCUCUGUCCUCGGGGAAAAAAAAAAGAUGGUACCCGGGGAGGAAGCUCCGGCUAACUACGUGCCAGCAGCCGCGGUAAUACGUAGGGAGCGAGCGUUGUCCGGAAUGAUUGGGCGUAAAGGGCGCGUAGGCGGCCUGUUAAGUCUGGAGUGAAAGUCCUGCUUUUAAGGUGGGAAUUGCUUUGGAUACUGAUGGGCUUGAGUGCGGGAGAGGUUAUCGGAAUUCCCAGUGUAGCGGUGAAAUGCGUAGAGAUUGGGAAGAACACCAGUGGCGAAGGCGGGUAACUGGACCGCAACUGACGCUGAGGCGCGAAAAAGAGGGGAGGCAAACAGGAUUAGAUACAUUGGGUAGUCCACCAGUAAACGAUGAAUGAUAGGUGUAGGGGGUAUCGACCCUUUUUGUGCCGCAGUAAACACAGUAAGCAUUCCGCCUGGGGAGUACGGCCGCAAGAGUUGAAAAUCAAAGGAAUAGACGGGGGCCCGCACAAGCAGCGGAGCAUGUGGUUUAAUUCGACGCAACGCGAAGAACCUUACCAGGUCUUAACAUCCAAUUAAAGCAGUAGAGAUAUUGUGUGCCCUUCGGGGCGAAUUGAGACAGGUGGUGCAAUGGUUGUCGUCAGCUCGUGUCGUGAGAUGUUGGGUUAAGUCCCGCAACGAGCGCAACCCUUGCGGAUAGUUACUAACACGCAAAGGUGAGGACUCUAUCAGGACUGCCGGGGACAACUCGGAGGAAGGUGGGGACGACGUCAAAUCAUCAUGCCCCUUAUGACCUGGGCUACACACGUGCUACAAUGGCCGUAACAAAGAGGAGCAAGCCCGCAAGGGUAAGCAGAUCUCAAAAAAGCGGUCUCAGUUCGGAUUGUGGGCUGCAACCCGCCCACAUGAAGUCGGAGUUGCUAGUAAUCGCAGAUCAGCAUGCUGCGGUGAAUACGUUCCCGGGCCUUGCACUCACCGCCCGUCA